rnacentral:rRNA from 1 species
CCUACGGGAGGCAGCAGUGGGGGAUAUUGCACAAUGGGGGAGACCCUGAUGCAGCGACGCCGCGUGGGCGAAGAAGUAUUUCGGUAUGUAAAGCCCUAUCAGCAGGGAAGAAGAAAUGACGGUACCUGAGUAAGAAGCACCGGCUAAAUACGUGCCAGCAGCCGCGGUAAUACGUAUGGUGCAAGCGUUAUCCGGAUUUACUGGGUGGAAAGGGAGCGCAGGCGGCACGGCAAGCCUGAUGGGAAAGCCCGCGGCCCAACCGCGGGCCUGCAUGGGGAACUACCGGGCUGGAGUGCCGGAGAGGUAGGCGGAAUUCGUAGUGUAGCGGUGAAAUGCGUAGAUAUUAGGAGGAACACCAGUGGCGAAGGCGGCCUACUGGACGGUGACUGACGCUGAGGCUCGAAAGCGUGGGGAGCAAACAGGAUUAGAUACCCUUGUAGUC